AGAGUUUGAUCCUGGCUCAGGAUGAACGCUAGCGACAGGCCUAACACAUGCAAGUCGAGGGGCAGCGGGGAGGUAGCAAUACCUUUGCCGGCGACCGGCGCACGGGUGAGUAACACGUAUGCAAUCCACCUGUAACAGGGGGAUAACCCGGAGAAAUCCGGACUAAUACCCCAUAAUAUGGGCGCUCCGCAUGGAGGGUCCAUUAAAGAGAGCAAUCUUGGUUACAGACGAGCAUGCGCUCCAUUAGCCAGUUGGCGGGGUAACGGCCCACCAAGGCGACGAUGGAUAGGGGUUCUGAGAGGAAGGUCCCCCACAUUGGAACUGAGACACGGUCCAAACUCCUACGGGAGGCAGCAGUGAGGAAUAUUGGUCAAUGGACGAGAGUCUGAACCAGCCAAGUAGCGUGAAGGAUGACUGCCCUAUGGGUUGUAAACUUCUUUUAUACGGGAAUAAAGUGAGGCACGUGUGCCUUUUUGUAUGUACCGUAUGAAUAAGGAUCGGCUAACUCCGUGCCAGCAGCCGCGGUAAUACGGAGGAUCCGAGCGUUAUCCGGAUUUAUUGGGUUUAAAGGGAGCGUAGGCGGACGCUUAAGUCAGUUGUGAAAGUUUGCGGCUCAACCGUAAAAUUGCAGUUGAUACUGGGUGUCUUGAGUACAGUAGAGGCAGGCGGAAUUCGUGGUGUAGCGGUGAAAUGCUUAGAUAUCACGAAGAACUCCGAUUGCGAAGGCAGCCUGCUGGACUGUAACUGACGCUGAUGCUCGAAAGUGUGGGUAUCAAACAGGAUUAGAUACCCUGGUAGUCCACACAGUAAACGAUGAAUACUCGCUGUUUGCGAUAUACAGUAAGCGGCCAAGCGAAAGCGUUAAGUAUUCCACCUGGGGAGUACGCCGGCAACGGUGAAACUCAAAGGAAUUGACGGGGGCCCGCACAAGCGGAGGAACAUGUGGUUUAA
rnacentral:rRNA from 1 species